GGGUUACAAUUUCGUCGCCGCUAAACCCUUGGCCUCCUUCGCCUCCAUAAAUAUCCACCGACGUUCUUCAUCUUCUUCACCUUUUUGUGGCUGAAUUCGUCCAUGGUUCUAAAUUCUCCGAUAUCCGUCCCAGCAGUUUCUUUUCGUAUUGUUUCAGUUUGUAUGGUUAGGGUUUAAUUUUGGUUAUUGAAGUUCAUCCAUGAAUAUUCCGAUGAAGAAGCUCUCCCAAAAUUGAUAGGAAGUGCCGUAUGACACUCCAAACCGCAGCGAGAAGCCAUUGAUACGACUGUUGGCUCCCAUCAGGCAGUGAACUCCGACGCCGAUUCGUUUCUACCCUGGAGCGGUCUGGUUGUUGGAUCGUUUUGCUGUCCGGGAAUUCUUAGCCGUUUUCCGUGAUUCUCCUGUGUGGUUGAUUUGAAACGGGUCUCUGAGGAUUUUGAGGGGUAAUGAUCAAGACAACAGUAGUCGGCAUUUGUACUUCCAAAAAUGUUUGAAGACCGAAAGUUGGGUCUUGAAGAUGAUCAGAUAUUGUUCUAAUCUCCGACGAUAAAUUAUGUUCCCUGAUAUGGAUGGAUGUUGUUUUAGACUUCACCAAUAUUGGAGAAUGAGAAUCGUUAUGGUUUGGAUUGACA